rnacentral:lncRNA from 1 species
GCCCCCCCCCGGCAGCCCCCGGCGCCCUUCCCACAAUGCCCCGGGGCGGGCGACAUCCUGCUGCAGUGGCGCCUGCGGAGGAAGAUGGAGGCUGCCGGGGGGGCGGGGCCCGGCGCGGCCCCGCCCCCCGGCACGGCCCCGCCCGGCUCCCACGAUGCCUUGUGGCACGGGGCGUCCCACGAUGCUUUGCGGCGAGAGUCCUCCCUGGAGAGAUGCGGCUCCCAUGAUGCUUUGCUCCAUGAGCUGUCGCGCGGUGAGCGUGAGUCCCAUGAUGCUUUGCGGCGAGAGUCUUCCCUGGAGAGACGCGACUCCCACGAUGCUUUGCGGCGUGAGCCCUCCCACGGCGAGCGCGGCUCCCAUGAUGCUUUGCGCCACCUGACGUCCUUGGAGAGCCGCGACUCCCAUGAUGCCUUGCGGCGCGAGUUCCCUCUGGAGAGACGCGGCUCCCAUGAUGCCUUGCUGCACACGACAUCCCUGGAGGAACGUGGCUCCCAUGAUGCCUUGCGGCGAGCGGCGCACCCGGGGGAGCACGCCUCCCAUGAUGCUUUGCGGCCAAAGAUGUACCUGGGCGCACGUGGCUCCCAUGAUGCUGUGCGGCCCCCGAGGGACAGCUCCCAUGAUGCUUUGCGGCCCUGUGGCUGUGACUCCCAUGAUGCUGUGCGGCCCCGGGACCACAACUCCCAUGAUGCCUUGCAAGAAGAGGGUGCCGCAGAGGGCUGUGGCUCCCAUGAUGCCUUGCGGCCCCUGAGGGACAGCUUCCAUGAUGCUCUGCGGCCCCGGGGCCACAGCUCCCAUGAUGCUUUGCAGCCCAAGAAGCGGAGCUCUUCUGUGGCUUUACAGCAUGGCUGCCGCAGCACCCAUGAUGCUUUGCAGUGCAGGCAGUGUGGCUCCCAUGGUGCUUUGGGGCCCAAGCCACGCCCUUCCCAUGGUGCCUUGUGCUGUGCAGGCUGUGGCUCCCAUGAUGCCUUGCGGCCAAGGAUGCAGCGCUCCCAUGCUGCCUUGCAGCCUAGCGGCCAUGGCUCCCAUGAUGCUUUGCAGCGCAGAGGAGCCAACUGCUGUGGCGGUUGGAGCCUGAAGUCACAUGACUCCCACAAUGCUUUGCAGCAGGGAGGCCGUGACUCCCAUGAGGCCUUGUGGUGCAGAACCUGUGAUUCCCAUGAUGCCUUGCAGCGCAGCAGCCAUGGUUCCCAUGAUGCCUUGCGGCAUGAAGGCCAUGACUCCCAUGAUGCCUUGCGGUGCAGAGGCCAUGAGUCCCAUGAUGCCUUGCGCUCUGAGAAGCACAACCCCCAUGAUGCCUUGCAGCACAGCAGCCAUGGUUCCCAUGAUGCUUUGCAACACGGACACCCUGGCUGCCGUGACGGUUUGGGGACGAAGCCGCACGGCUCCCACGAUGCUUUGCAGCGCGGAGGACCUGGCUCCCACGAUGCCUUGCAGGAUGGAAGCCAUGGCUCCCAUGAUGCCUUGCGGCACAGCAGUCACGACUCCCAUGAUGCCUUGCAGUCUGAGCAGCACGGCUCCCAUGAUGCUUUGCCCUCCAAGCAGCACAAUUCCCAUGAUGCCUUGCAGCACAGGGGACCUGGCUGCCAUGAUGGUUCAGGGCUGAAGGUGCAGGACUCCCAUGAUGCCUUGCAGCAUGGAGGCCAUGACUCCCAUGAUGCCUUGCACUCCAAGCAGCACAGCUCCCAUGAUGCCUUGCGACGCGGAGGACCCCGCUGCCAUGACGGUUCGG